rnacentral:rRNA from 1 species
UACGUAGGGUGCGAGCGUUAAUCGGAAUUACUGGGCGUAAAGCGUGCGCAGGCGGCUUUGCAAGACAGAUGUGAAAUCCCCGGGCUCAACCUGGGAACUGCAUUUGUGACUGCAGUGCUGGAGUGCGGCAGAGGGGGAUGGAAUUCCGCGUGUAGCAGUGAAAUGCGUAGAUAUGCGGAGGAACACCGAUGGCGAAGGCAAUCCCCUGGGCCUGCACUGACGCUCAUGCACGAAAGCGUGGGGAGCAAACAGG